GGGUUUUUUUUGCGCUCCUCUUGGGCCAGUCGGUGACUGUCUUCAUCCUUUUCUCCUCGUUGCAGCUGAUUCCACGACCUGGGUUUCAUCUCUCGAUCGCUACGUAUCGUCGAAAUCGAGUCUCGGGAGGUUUUUCGCAGUUCGUUUGAGGUAUUUCGCAGGCGAUGGAGCACAAGGAUGGGGUGACGAGCUCGGUGGAGGCCGAGCAUGAGGCUCCUCGACAGGGACCUCAAGACGGGCCUCCUUCGCAGGAACCAGACUUGGAGGCGCCUUUGUUGCCAGCGGAGGCCGCGGGAUCUCCUCCCAUAGUCCAUGAUGCGCCUCCGAGCGAGCAGAAGGACACGCUUCUGUACAUUUGUGCGGUUUUGAGCAUCGUCACCGCCGUGGGCGCUUUGCUCUGUUUGGUGGUGAAUCUCAUCUCUCUCUUGCGCUCGUUCGAUUACCGGGGUUUCGAUUAUCGCGUUAGUGUGUUUGUUGGAAUCAUACGCUUCUACGCAGUCGCCUUUGCUCUACUAGUAGUCAUUGCUGAGACUGAGUGGGGACCCAUCGUCAGAUUUUGGAAGGUGUUAGAUUACUGGGUAGGUCGCGGCCUUCUCCAGAUCCUUGUGGCAGCUUUGACGAAGGUGUUGGCACGAGCAAGCGGUGAGACGAAAGCGGAAAGUUUGUUGCAUGAAGUGGCCAGCUGGUGGCUUUUGGCAUGUGGAAUGCUUUAUAUUGUUUCUGGAUUGUUUUGCCUUGGUGCCGUUAAACGCAGCCACAUGCAAAAAGCUAAUUGGAAGGAACAAGCUCAAAAAGAACUUGAGGAGGUGCAUAGACGACGGCAAGAACUGGAGGCUCAGCUCGGUGGACACCGUUAAACUUCUAAAGUCACCUGCUCUGAGAUACAACCGAUUGCUCCUUGAUCUACUAGUCUUGCUGGUUUGCUCAGUCUUGUACAGUAAUCAAAUGCGAAUAGUCAAAUAUGCAUGUGACCGAGCUUAAGUGGAACGAUGUUCUGCAGGAGCAUUUCCUUCUACCUAGGACUUGACGAUUGCUUGUUCGCAUGACGUAUCUACCCCGCUGUGUACAAUGCACUUGAAAUGGUCAAGUACACAGCCGCAUCAUGGUUAAUUCAGCCAUUUUCAUAUGCAUCUGACAGAGAGAGCCGGUACUUCAGUGGAGUAACAUCUUGAUGAGAUGCUCCCUAGAUAGGUAUUCUUAUCCUUGGAUUUUCGUUGUCUGAUAAAGAUUUCCGUUCCUGUUCUGAUCAUUUGUGUCAUUUGCUGAAAUCGACAUGAUCCACUGUUACCAUCGCACUCAGAACAGAGCAGUAUCUUGCAACAAGGACAAAGUCUUGUGUCA